CUCGUAGGUUGCCAACUAAGUCAGACGUGAAAUCCCUCGGCUUAACCGGGGAACUGCGUCUGAUACUGGAUGGCUUGAGUUUGGGAGAGGGACGCGGAAUUCCAGGUGUAGCGGUGAAAUGCGUAGAUAUCUGGAGGAACACCGGUGGCGAAGGCGGCGUCCUGGCCAACACUGACACUGGGAGCGAAAGCCAGGGGAGCAAACG
rnacentral:rRNA from 1 species